GUGCCAGCAGCCGCGGUAAUACGGGGGUGCAAGCGUUAUCCGGAUUCAUUGGGUUUAAAGGGUGCGCAGGCGGAGUACUUAAGUCAGUGGUGAAAUCCCGGGGCUCAACCCCGGAACUGCCAUUGAUACUGAAUAUCUGGAAUACGGUUGAAGUGGGCGGAAUGUAGCAUGUAGCGGUGAAAUGCAUAGAGAUGCUACAGAACACCGAUCGCGAAGGCAGCUCACUAAGCCGAUAUUGACGCUCAGGCACGAAAGCGUGGGGAGCGAACAGGAUUAGAUACCCUGGUAGUCCACGCCGUAAACGAUGAUAACUCGUUGUUGGCGACACACAGUCAGCGACUAAGCGAAAGCGAUAAGUUAUCCACCUGGGGAGUACGAUCGCAAGGUUGAAACUCAAAUGAAUUGACGG
rnacentral:rRNA from 1 species